GACGACGCUGGCGGCGUGCCUAAUACAUGCAAGUAGGACGAGUUGGGAACGGGUGAGUAACGAGUGGUCACCUGCCUGGUAGAGAGGGAUAACUAUUGGAAACGAUAGCUAAUACCGCAUACUAGUAGAUGUACCUGCGUUGUAUUAGCUAGUAGGUAGGGUAAUGGCCUACCUAGGCGACGUUACAUAGCCGACCUGAGAGGGUGAUCGGCCACACUGGGACUGAGACACGGUCCAGACUCCUACGGGAGGCAGCAGUGGGGAAUAUUGCACAAUGGGCGCAAGCCUGAUGCAGCCAUGCCGCGUGUAUGAAGAAGGCCUUCGGGUUGUAAAGUACUUUCAGCGGGGAGGCGUUACCCGCAGAAGAAGCACCGGCUAACUCCGUGCCAGCAGCCGCGGUAAUAC
rnacentral:rRNA from 1 species